GGCAAUGUGGCUUAGUAAUAGAGCACUUGCUUAGUGUGCAGAAGGCCUGGUUUCAAUCACCAACAUUGGCA
rnacentral:tRNA from 1 species